CUCACUGCUGCUCCGCGUGGCCUCGGAGGGCGGCAGAGCCGGGCCAGCCCUUCCCUGGCUGCGGGAGCUGUGAGCGCUUCCUGUGCUGCCUCCCGCCCCAGCUGCCUCUGCCUAUGCCCUCCUCCCGGGGAUUCAAGGAAAAUGGCAGAGAAGUGAGAAGCAGAAAAACAGUCUCUCUAAUAUGUGGUGUCCAGAUGCUGGAAUACAGCAAUGUGAGGAAGAGAAGGAGGAAAGUGAGUGUUCAGGACCCAGCAAGGAUCAGAAAUGAGAAUUGAAGUCCAUGGAGAAAGCAAAGAGACUUUAAUGAAAAACAAGGAGGUGGCAAGUGAUGUUUUAUCCCUGACCAUUGAUUCACCAUGUGGGAAGGAUUACCCAAACCUGCAGACCCACAGUGACAACUAGAAGCCCCAGAUGAUUCUACAGAGAAAUGCACCAGUGCGAUGGAGCAGAGAAUGCACUGCAAUGAAUGUUUAGGACUUGCCUCUUGCUCAGGAUAUUUUUCCAGACUCAGGACUCCCAUGGUCACUGGAUGGUGAAAGUCGACCUCUGCAGGAUGGGUCCUCGGAAGCAGUCCAGUACUUUAUCCUAGGAUCCAUUCCUUCCCUGGCACUUGCCACAGCAGUGAUCUGCAUUGGCCCAUCUUCCUCAGCUCAUUCUCUACAGACUCAUUAAUUUUUCAUUUUGAGGACAAGAAAAAUUAAUUGAACAAUCAUGGAGCAUUUCCGAUGAGCUGGAUCUGAAGUCCAGUCGUGGGAUUAGCAGAGUGCUAAUGUGCUAAUUAGGCUAAAUGAGUCCACGCAGAACCUGUGCCCAGACCACACAACUAGGUAAGAAAUCAGGCUCUGAGUAUGUGUCUUGUGGAUUUCUGUGCUGAUUUUGCUUAUACUUACUUCAGAGGCUCCAGAUACCUUCAAGUAUGCUCAUCUUAAGUAUUUCUGCAAAUAUCCAUGAAUCCCCAUCAUAAGUAGUCAAACCGAGCGGUCUCACACGUCACACAAAUUCUUUCCUUCCUUUGGCCAGACUGGAGAUGCUGGCUGCCUCGUGCUGCCUGUUGUGGAUAUGGAGGAUGCUGCGCUGUGCAGCCAUGAGGAUGCUGCCCCUGCCUUGUUGGAAGUCACAGGGACUAAAAAUAGCUUGGGCACUGCUGAUGUACUAGAGUUCCAGUGCCCACUGUGCCCUGUGCUUUCUAAGAUCUGCACUGAUUUUAUUGCCGAGGGAGGAAAAUUCCUUUGUUUUGGAGACAUUCAGAGAUUCCAAAGCAGUGACGUGGGUGCUUGGUAUCUCUUCAUCUUUGAGAUACUCUCUUUGAAUUUCUUUUUUAUGUCUGAGACAUCUUGGAAGCAGGUAAUAGAAACUUGGUUUCUCAGUAGAUGGUUACAGUGAAGUAGUCAUGAGGACAGGAUUGCCUACACUUUCUUGCUGAAUGACCUUGGACAAGUGAAACCAACUUGGUUAGCCUCAAUUUCCUGAUGAAUGGCAUGAGAAAUAAUGCUGGCAAUAUUGCCCUCAUAGAUUGCAAGACUUCAUUGAGGACAAUACUGGACAGGUAGUACAAAUGUGGUAACCUUAUGAUCUUAGGAAUGCAAGGUAGUAUCUUUUUACUGAAUGAAAGUAAAUUUCCACAACUGCAAGUGUGUUUAGAUGUGUUAAGAUAGAUGACCAUAUUACUGCAUUUCUGUUGGAUCAUUGAACACAACUGUUUGCAGUCUCACUGUUUGAAUGUCCACUUUUUAUGCUUUAAUCCUGUAACCUGAAAAACUAUUUCUAAGAUGACAAUAUGUAAUCUAUUAACUAGUGAUUUCUUAUCAUUUUUUUUGAAAUUCUGUAUUACUUGUACCCUUAUACUGUUUUGUUUUUUUUCUUUAAAUAAAAAAAGUAAAUU